rnacentral:rRNA from 1 species
GACGAACGCUGGCGGCGUGCCUAAUACAUGCAAGUAGAACGCACAGUUUAUACCGUAGCUUGCUACACCAUAGACUGUGAGUUGCGAACGGGUGAGUAACGCGUAGGUAACCUGCCUGGUAGCGGGGGAUAACUAUUGGAAACGAUAGCUAAUACCGCAUAAUAUUAAUUAUUGCAUGAUAAUUAAUUGAAGGGUGCAAUUGCACCACUACCAGAUGGACCUGCGUUGUAUUAGCUAGUAGGUGAGGUAACGGCUCACCUAGGCGACGAUACAUAGCCGACCUGAGAGGGUGAUCGGCCACACUGGGACUGAGACACGGCCCAGACUCAUACGGGAGGCAGCAGUAGGGAAUCUUCGGCAAUGGACGAAAGUCUGACCGAGCAACGCCGCGUGAGUGAAGAAGGUUGUCGGAUCGUAAAGCUCUGUUGUAAGAGAAGAACGGGUGUGAGAGUGGAAAGUUCACACUGUGACGGUAUCUUACCAGAAAGGGACGGCUAACUACGUG